CUGUUUGACAGGAGCUCAGACAGGCCCGGCGGACAUUAAACGCCGGGCGUGUUGAUUUUUUUUGUUGCGUCCAUCCGAUUGAAGAUGGGCGCGACACCUUUUAAAAUGCGUUUAUUGCUUUUUACAAUGUAAUUAUUCAAAUAUAUAUAGUGCUACUAUGCUCCCGUUAAAGGGAGCGGAGUUUGGACUUUAAAGCAGAGUUUGGACUUUAAAGCCACGUUUGGACUUUAAAGCAUGGUUCGUGCUUAAAACCUUCAGCACGCCCCACCACCACGUCAGCACCGUCGGGAUCCCACGGCCAACACCCGCUGACCAAGACUCCACGCCUCACGCCACCUAAGAGGCCAUCGACACCAAGGAGAGUACGGUCACAUGCCCUAAGGAAUUUGCCGAAAUCGACCUACACCACGACCCUACAAAUUUGUGUGCCACCGACUAGCUAAGCCGCGGUAGUUUCUGUACCAUUUUUAAACUUAAUUAGUAUUAUUAAACUUUACCGUGUGCUAAA